AGUUGGACCCUUCGCAAUAGAAACUUAUGAACCCCGUCAGGUCAGGAAUGAAGCAGCGGUAAGUAGGAUCUUCUAUGUGCCGGAGGAUUAUCUGAUUUGA
rnacentral:SRP_RNA from 1 species